rnacentral:rRNA from 1 species
GAUGAACGCUGGCGGCGUGCCUAAUACAUGCAAGUCGAGCGAACAGACGAGGAGCUUGCUCCUCUGACGUUAGCGGCGGACGGGUGAGUAACACGUGGAUAACCUACCUAUAAGACUGGGAUAACUUCGGGAAACCGGAGCUAAUACCGGAUAAUAUAUUGAACCGCAUGGUUCAAUAGUGAAAGACGGUUUUGCUGUCACUUAUAGAUGGAUCCGCGCCGCAUUAGCUAGUUGGUAAGGUAACGGCUUACCAAGGCAACGAUGCGUAGCCGACCUGAGAGGGUGAUCAGCCACACUGGAACUGAGACACGGCCCAGACUCCUACGGGAGGCAGCAGUAGGGAAUCUUGCGCAAUGGGCGAAAGCCUGACGCAGCAACGCCGCGUGAGUGAUGAAGGUCUUCGGAUCGUAAAGCUCUGUUAGCAGGAACGAACAAAAGUGUAAGAAACUCUGCACGUCAUGACGGUACCUAAACAGAAAGCACCGGCUAACUACGUG